GACGAACGCUGGCGGCGUGCUUAACACAUGCAAGUCGAACGGAAAGGCCCUGCUUUUGUGGGGUCUCGAUUGGCGAACGGGGGAGUAACACGCGAGUAACCUGCCCUUGAAUUUGGGAUAACUUCAGGGAACUGGGGCUAAUACCGGAUAGGAGCUCCUGCAGCAUGGUGGGGGAUGGUAAGAUUCGGCGGUUGGGGAUCGAAUAGCGGCUUAUCAGCUUGUUGGUGGAGUAGUGGCGUACAAAGGCUGCGACGGGUAGGCUGCAUGAGAGGGUAACCGGGCACAAUGGGCCUGAGAGACGGCCCAGACUCGUACGGGAGGCAGCAGUGGGAAAUAUGACGCAGUGAGCGGGAGCCUGAUGCAACGACGCCGGGUGCGGAAUGCCGGCCUUCGGGUUGUGAACAGCUUUCGCCUGUAAUGAGGCGUGAGUGACGGUAAUGGGUAAGGAAGCACCGGCUAACUACGUG
rnacentral:rRNA from 1 species